GCACAGUGCAGAAGCAGAGAUGCCAGAUUUUGCUCUUCAGCCUUUGAAAACCCCUGAAGUUUCUCAAGCUGCUGACAAUCAAGAGAGAACGCAUCAACCUGGAUUUCCUUCUUCUUCUUCUUCAAAACCAUCUUAGCUGAUCAAGAGACACCCAGGCCGGGAGAGGCUCAUCUAGCAGCGCAGCUCCACUUCCCUUCCCGGCUCCGCCGCACCACGUGCCGCCCGCAGCCGCCUGCGCCGAGCCGGGCACACCCCGCCCCGGGGCUCGGCCCUGCGGCCUUC
rnacentral:lncRNA from 1 species